UACGUAGGGCGCAAGCGUUAUCCGGAAUUAUUGGGCGUAAAGAGCUCGUAGGCGGUUUGUCGCGUCUGCUGUGAAAGACCGGGGCUCAACUCCGGUUCUGCAGUGGGUACGGGCAGACUAGAGUGCAGUAGGGGAGACUGGAAUUCCUGGUGUAGCGGUGAAAUGCGCAGAUAUCAGGAGGAACACCGAUGGCGAAGGCAGGUCUCUGGCUGUAACUGACGCUGAGGAGCGAAAGCAUGGGGAGCGAACAGG
rnacentral:rRNA from 1 species